rnacentral:lncRNA from 1 species
UAAGCAACCUCGAGCCCACCAGAACCUAAAAACAAUAUUCCAACAACUAGUUUAGCAACCAAUUUAUGAAUUCAUCAAACUAAAUCAGACAAUGUGCACAUGCUUAUCGCCAACAAACACAACCACACGCACGAAUCAGGCUGUUGAAGCAAAAUUCGCUGCUACACCAUCAUCUCCGUCGCAAUCUCUUACAAAAAUUAAACCCCCUAAUAAGAACACCCGCACGCCAAACUAACAAAGAAAUCCAACCAAAAACAACUUACAGACUUACCACAAUGAGCAAAGAACAUAUGGAAUGAUGAUCCCCCACGAUUAAAACGACCAAUUCGUUGAGCAAAGUAACGAAAGAAUAACACGAAAAGAAAAGGUUGCAGAAAGAAAAAAAAAGAGAAAGAAAAAGAAGAAGAAAGAGUAACGUCAAAAUGUGAAAUAGAAAGGGAAAUUUUAGGAAAAAAUAAAAUAAAAUAAAAUAAUAUCAAAUAUUAUCCCAACAUCUCCACUAACCACUAACACCCUUAUCCCACCAAAUCCGACACACUACUCACAUCCAACUACCUUAGACUUCUAACUCCACCGAACCUUU